CCUACGGGAGGCAGCAGUGGGGAAUUUUGGACAAUGGGCGCAAGCCUGAUCCAGCAAUGCCGCGUGAGUGAAGAAGGCCUUCGGGUUGUAAAGCUCUUUUGUCAGGGAAGAAACGGGUCUUUCUAAUACAGAGGCCUAAUGACGGUACCUGAAGAAUAAGCACCGGCUAACUACGUGCCAGCAGCCGCGGUAAUACGUAGGGUGCAAGCGUUAAUCGGAAUUACUGGGCGUAAAGCGUGCGCAGGCGGUUUUGUAAGUUUGUCGUGAAAUCCCCGGGCUCAACCUGGGAAUGGCGAUGAAGACUGCAAGGCUAGAGUUUGGCAGAGGGGGGUAGAAUUCCACGUGUAGCAGUGAAAUGCGUAGAUAUGUGGAGGAACACCGAUGGCGAAGGCAGCCCCCUGGGUCAAAACUGACGCUCAUGCACGAAAGCGUGGGGAGCAAACAGGAUUAGAUACCCUGGUAGUCCACGCCCUAAACGAUGUCUACUAGUUGUCGGGUCUUAAUUGACUUGGUAACGCAGCUAACGCGUGAAGUAGACCGCCUGGGGAUACGGUCGCAAGAUUAAAACNCAAAGAGUAGUAGCGNGAGAGACGCGACGACGACGACGACGGAGGAGGAG
rnacentral:rRNA from 1 species